CUGGUGCACUUACAACAUCAUUUCUGCACCUACAAAAUUAUGGACCAGAUUUUGGAGAGCAACAAGUUCACCAAGGGUUUUGCUCUGUUGUCCUGGCUAGGGUGCAGUGGUAUGAACAUGGCUCACUGCAGCCUUGACCUCCUGUACUCAAGCAAUCCUCCCUCUUCAGUCUCCUGAGUAGUGAGUAGUUGGGACCACAGGUGAGGGUCAGAACUAGAGGUGGUGGAGUGAACGCCGCACCAGGCAAUGGACUUGUUCCAACACGGAUGGCUGGACUCACCCCCAGAAUUUCAGAUUUAUUAGGUCUGCACUGGGCCCUGAGAAUGUUUAUUUAAAACAAAUUCCUGGAUGCUACUGGUUCAGUUGCCACACUCUGAGACCCGCUGGCUUUGAGCUUAGAAGAUGUGGGUUUGAUUCCUGGAUUCCACAGUUUACUAGCUGUGAGUUAGAGAAUUUAAAUUACUUACCUGAGUCUUGGUUUCUUAUUUGCAAACUGAACUGUAAACUAUUUGUUCUACCCAUUUUAUAAGACUUUUGUAAGGAUAAAAU
rnacentral:lncRNA from 10 species